CGAAACUCUUAAUUCAAAAAUUACGGUUGUCGCAUUUAUUACUCUACACUGUCAUUACAACAGAAUUAGGUUAUAUGGACAUAUGUUUGGAAUACUUUUGUGUAAGUGUUCCAUUUAUGCCAAAACUUAAAAAAAAAAUCUACUAAUGCCUAAAUAUAAAGCCCGAUCCAACUAAAAAUAAAAGAUUACUCUACUCAACUCACCCCACCCAGCCCAUUCAGCCCGAGUACAAACAGAAAAGAAAAAAAAAAAAAUCGAUUACCAUCUUCCCUUCUCCCCCUCACUCAAUCCACUGAAAUCCUAGACGAAGAGCCCUUCCCUCUCAGCCUUCUCCGCCACCGCAGCCAACGAGAUAGAGUUCCAACGGUUGCUAAAUACUUAAAUAAGUGUUGAUAAAUUAGCAACACUGCUUUUAGGUUAUAGCGACACUCUUUAACUGUCACUAUAUACCUAGCGACCCCAUAUAUAGCAAUACUUUUUAAAAGUGUCGAUAAUUUAGCCAGCAACACUCUUUUUGAACUGUACCGAUAUUUAAAAGUGUCGCUAUAGACCAUUUUUGUUGUAGUGUGUGAAUUUUGCAUUUUCUAAUGGUUUAGGCUUUUAAGUUUGAGAGAGAGAGAGAGAGAGAGAGAGAGAGAAAGAGAUUAAAUACAUGUAAUUGUAUAAUUUUUCAUAGGAGUCAUUAUGUUUUAAAUUAUU
rnacentral:lncRNA from 1 species